rnacentral:lncRNA from 1 species
UUGAGCACCGCGACGUUGACCGGGCCAGAGGCGUCGAUCAGGUUGUCGGUCUGGGUCGCCCACACCGGCGCGAUGAAAGCGUUGGGCUUGGUGGAAACGGUGAAGCCCGCGACCGCGUAGCGGCAGUUCAUCAGGUCGCUCAUCCACUCCACCUUGUCUAGGUCCAUGCUGCAGCAGCGACCCACGCAGCGCUGGGUGUCCACGUUGACGCGGAAGCAGUAGUUGUUGUUUCCGUUGCUCGCGAACUUGCGGGUGUAGGUGAGGUUGUAGGGCGUCGACAGCAUGGCGCCAGGCUUGCAGGUGCAGUAGGGGAACUCGUCCUGCGGCGGCGCGCAGCCCUGCGAAUAGGUAAACUGGUCGCAAAUCUUGCCGGUGCGGUCGGUGACGACGUAAGACAGCUCGGAGACGAGGCAAAUACGCUGGCCGAACACCGGCACGAUGUAGUUGCCGAAGCCAAUCGCGGGCGCCAGAUCGUCGCGGAAACCGCCGCCAUCGCUGAGGUAGGUGCCGAACUCGCGAGCCUCAGACUCCAGCUUGAAGUCACCGCACACGCGCAUCGCGGGCCGGCCGUUGGGGCGAG